rnacentral:lncRNA from 13 species
GAGGUGCACUGCCAACACCAACAUUGUUAUGCUUGGGUUCUACCUAAAUUAAGUGCAGAGAACUUUCUGUGCAGCAGAGGCCCAUAUCACAACCAGAGCAUGUGAGGAUAACUGCCUCUACAAGGAGAGCAUUAGUUCUUUUCCCUCCUCACCAAACAUCCU